rnacentral:sRNA from 1 species
UUUCCGAGUUGGCUGCAGAGUUGUGGUGCGUUCUGAGCUGUCUGUCCUGCGCCAAGAUGCUUCAAAGUAUUAUUAAAAACAUAUGGAUCCCCAUGAAGCCCUACUACACCAAAGUUUACCAGGAGAUUUGGAUAGGAAUGGGGCUGAUGGGCUUCAUCGUUUAUAAAAUCCGGGCUGCUGAGAUGGGGUUUUGCCAUGUUACCCAGGCUGGUCUUGAACUCCUGGGCUCAAGCAGUCCUCCAAUCUUGGCUUCCCAAAGUGCUGGAAUUAACAAGCGUGAGCCACAACACCUGGCCCAAUUGGGGAACUUUGAACAAGACUUUAAUAUCAGAAUUGUGAGUUUUCUUAGGUGUGAAAGUGGUAUUACAUUCGUUUUAAGAGAUGAAGGCUAAAAUAUUUAAGGUAUGGGUUCAUGGUAUGUGGUAUUUCAUUGCACCUUUUCAACUGUUCUGAAUAUUUGAAAUUUGUUUGUAAAAAAAAUUUGGAAGGGAGGAAUAACCACUUGGUUCUCAGUAGAGCAGAGCAGUGUGGCCCAAUCACAUGUUACUAAGCCAUUGAUUACAAAGAGAAAACUUUAUGCUGCAAGACUAAAAUUUAGGACAUUGUAGAAGGUAAGGAGCCCUGCAAAUUUGAAAGGGCUGUUAGCUGUUCAUAGAACAUCUUUGGUAGGAAUUUUACCAUUUCUUGGCUAUAAGACAUUUUCUGAAAGCUUCCUGAAUUGCUUUACCUAAGCUACAAUGCCUUCAGCUAAAUGUUAAUUUUGACAAAGGCAUUUUUGUAAAGCAUUGAUAUGACUGCUUUUUUUUCCUUCCUUUUAUUUUAGAUAAAAGAAGUAAGGCUUUGAAAGGUA